rnacentral:rRNA from 1 species
ACCUUUGACGAUUGACUCAUGUUGCCUCGGCGGGUGCUCCCGCCAGAGGAUACAUCAAAACUCCGUGUGUUUAACGGUGUUGUCUGAGCUACAAGCUACGAAUCAAUAACUUUCAACAACGGAUCUCUUGGUUCUGGCAUCGAUGAAGAACGCAGCGAAAUGCGAUAAGUAGUGUGAAUUGCUAUGAAUUCUACGUGAAUCAUCGAAUCUUUGAACGCACAUUGCGCCCCUUGGUAUCACGANUGAGCUCGACUGUUCGAGCGUCAUUUCACCACUCAAGCCUGGCUUGGUGUUAGGCGACGUCCCCUUUGGGGACGCGCCUCGAAACGCUCGGCGGCGUGGCACCGGCUUUAAGCGUAGCAGAAUCUUUCGCUUUGAAAGUCGGGGCCCCGUCUGCCGGAAGACCUACUCGCAAGGUUGACCUCGGAUCAGGCAGGGAUACCCGCUGAACUUAAGCAUAUCAAUAAGCGGAGGA